rnacentral:lncRNA from 1 species
GAAGAGUGGUAUGGAGCCGCAUUUCAUUAUUAACGUACAAUAAAAAGCUUAAAACAUGCACAACAAAAACCAUACAACAGUUCAUAAACAGUUUGACGUGCUCAAGCAAUUACAUUCUAGACAAGGGAAUCAAUUGAAACAAAAGCUUCAGUUCCAUCACUUCACGCGGAUUUAACGGUAAAUGAACAAAACAUAGAUGCAAAACAUGGAAAAUGACAGAUUUUGGUCUAAAAAUAUCAGACGAGAUGAAUCAUCAGUUGAAGAUAUUUUCAUCUUUAGAGAGAGGAGCUCAAGAUAUUUCAAAAUAUCACAAGAGCUAGCUCAAGAUAUUUUAGUCGCAUAAGAAUAUCCAGCCAAGAUUCAUGCAUGAAUGCUUGCGGCUUCAAGUGUGUUAAGCAUACUAAAAUAUUUAUAAUCUAUCCAAAUCUUAUGACUAAUAUACCCUUGAAAGUUGUUCCGUAAGUCAAGGCCAAAUCUUAUGACUAAUGAAAAAAAUGUUUGAAAACUUUGAAUUUUAACGAUAAGGAUAAAAUAAAGGGAACUUUAACGAAAACCACCCGGUACUGUUCACUUUAACAAAAAACCACAUUUUUACACUAAAAAGUCAAUCCUGGUACUAUUCACUUUACCUUUUAUUUUGUCCUUAUCAUUAAAACUCAAAGUUUUCAAGCCAUUUUCAUUAGUUUUCUUUAAAAUAAAGGGUAAAGUGAAAAGUAUUAUGAUUGACUUUUUAGUGUAAAAAUAUGAUUUUUUGUUAAAAUGAACAGUACCGAUAAUUUUUCGUUAAAAUUACCAUUUUUUAAUUAAUUUUAAAAUUUCCACAUGCACUACAAUUUAAGAGAAAACUGUAGCAAUGAUCCCUUAACUUUAACGCAAUUGAAGCGUUGGUCCUUUAACUCAUCAAAAUGUGCAGCUAUGGUCAUUUUCGCCAACUUUGUCAUAACCUCUGUUAAAAUGACUCGUGGUUGAAGAAUCAUUACUAAGAUUAGGUUAAAGUUGAGAGACUAUUUCUUUAAUUAGGUUAAAGUUGAGGAACCACUGCUAUUGGAUUAAAGUAAAGAACAAUUUUCACUUUUGUUAUCUAUAUUUCUCCCUUAAUUUAGCUUCACGUACAUGGCACGUAACUCAUUUUGACAGAUGUUCUGAUGAAGUUGAUAAAAAAUAUCAUAAAUGCACGUUUUUAUGAGUUAAAGACCAAUGAUUGUGAAAUUUUAGUUAAAAAAUCAUUAUUUCAAUUCAAUCAACGUUGAUAGACCAUUACUACAAUUUACUUCAAAUUUAAACGCCAAAGUUCCCUGUAACCAAAAAGGAAAGGAAAUUCACAUUUUCCUGGAAAUUGCAACUUGUAAGAAUGGAAGAGGUGUAACCACGUAUAGAGAAAACAACUGAAAAAAAGUGAGCUGAGUCAGACCAACAAAUAAAAUGAAAUAUGAGCUGAGCUGCUUUUGAUCACUUGCACUUUUUCUCUUUUCAACUGGAUCCCACCAAACCGACCAUUCCUCAAGAGGGAAUUUAUUUUU